rnacentral:sRNA from 12 species
GCUCUGCACUCACCAAGUGGCGGUGCAGGCCGAUCACCAAGGUGGUCAGCUUGGUUGUCCUGCUUCGGCAAACACACUACAGGGUCUGGCAAGCUGCGGAGUAGCUACAAGCGGAACGCAGAACCAGC